rnacentral:rRNA from 1 species
UACGUAGGGUGCGAGCGUUAAUCGGAAUUACUGGGCGUAAAGCGUGCGCAGGCGGUUCGUUAUGUCCGUUGUGAAAGCCCCGGGCUCAACCUGGGAAUGGCAAUGGAAACUGGCGGGCUAGAGUGUGGCAGAGGGGGGUGGAAUUCCGCGUGUAGCAGUGAAAUGCGUAGAGAUGCGGAGGAACACCGAUGGCGAAGGCAGCCCCCUGGGCCAAUACUGACGCUCAGGCACGAAAGCGUGGGGAGCAAACAGG